AUUGAACGCUGGCGGCAUGCCUUACACAUGCAAGUCGAACGGCAGCGCGGGAGCAAUCCUGGCGGCGAGUGGCGAACGGGUGAGUAAUAUAUCGGAACGUGCCCAGUAGUGGGGGAUAGCCCGGCGAAAGCCGGAUUAAUACCGCAUACGACCUACGGGUGAAAGGGGGGGAUCGCAAGACCUCUCGCUAUUGGAGCGGCCGAUAUCAGAUUAGGUAGUUGGUGGGGUAAAGGCCUACCAAGCCCGCGAUCUGUAGUUGGUCUGAGAGGACGACCAGCCACACUGGGACUGAGACACGGCCCAGACUCCUACGGGAGGCAGCAGUGGGGAAUUUUGGACAAUGGGCGCAAGCCUGAUCCAGCAAUGCCGCGUGCAGGAAGAAGGCCUUCGGGUUGUAAACUGCUUUUGUCGGGGAAGAAAUCCUCUAGGCUAAUACCUUGGGGGGAUGACGGUACCUGAAGAAUAAGCACCGGCUAACUACGUGCCAGCCGCCGCCGUAAUAC
rnacentral:rRNA from 1 species